GCCUGGCCAACGUGGUGAAACCCCGUCUCUACUAAAAAUACAAAAAUUAGCCAGGCACUGUGGUGGGUGCCUGUAGUCCCAGCUACUCAGGAGGCUGAGGCAGGAGAAUCACUUGAACCCAGGAGGCAGAAGUUGCAGUGAGCCGAGAUUGCGCCACUGCACUCCAGCCUGGGCAAUAGAGCAAGACCCUACCUUAAAAAUAAAUAACCCACAGAGCUGAGCACAAGCUUCCUCAUGCUUUUCCUUUGGAAGGUGUCCUAGAUAUAUGAUGAUUUCUUUUUUCUUUCACCCCCUCUUUAUUGUCACAAGUAGCUUGCUUGGCUCAGGAACAACAGAAGAGAAUAAAGAAAAUGACCUCAGACCUUCCUUACCUCAGUCUUAUGCAGCAACCGUAGCCAGACCAAGUGCAUCUUCAGCCUCCACGGUGCCAGGUUAUUCCGAGGACGGCGGGGCGCUGCGAGGAGAAGUUAUUCCUGAACAUGAGUUUGCGACGGGACCAGUGUGUCUUGAUGAUGAGAAUGAGUUUCCUCCUGUGAGCAUUAGGAACCCGUAACUGGGCGGCUCAGUCUGUGUGCUUAGAAGGAAACCUUUGCCUCAUACGAGAGGCGGAGUCCCUUUCCCUGUUUUCUAGUCUAUAACAACUAAUCCUCUGCUCUAGUAUUUGGAAAGCCGUAGGAUAUU
rnacentral:sRNA from 1 species